GGGGGGGUGGCUCUCGGUGCGAGGGUCUCUCUGAGGGGGGGUGUGGGUGUGGGGGUCUCUCUGGGGAGAGGUGGUUGGUUUGGUGAGCUCUCCCGAGGAGGGGGCAGCUGGCUGUGAGGGGAUGUGUGAGGAGGAGCCCUUGGCGUGAGGGGCUCAUUGGUUUGGGGAGGGAGUAACCAGCUGUGAGGGGUUGUGUGUGGAGGGGUUUUGGCGUGAGGAGCAGUUUUAGGCGACAGGUGAGGGGUUGCUGAGGGAUAGAACAGGAGAGAAGGAGUUUGGGAAGGAGGGGUUGUGGAAGGCCCAUGUGGGGACACUGAGAUGGGAGAGGGGCCUGAGGGAGAAGAUGGUGGGGAGCUACUGCUGAGGCCAUUUGAGCUCGGCCAGGGUUUUGGGGAGCAGCAGGCCUGAGGGGGAAUGAGGGAACUUAGGAAAGAUGCCGGGGGGGUGGGAGAGUGACAGGGGCUCAGCAAUGGGGUACAUGAGGCCUGGACAUGGGUAGGGAGAAGAGGUAUAGAGGAGAGGCCUGGCACAGGCAGGAACUUUUUGGGGGCGGUGUGGCAGAGGACAGUGGGUUUGGGUCAGGCUGCCUGGGGUGAGGACUUGGAGCCAAGUGGAGCUGCCUCUCUAGCCAGGAGCAUCUCAGCUACAGGCAGUGACACUCCCAGGAGGUGGUAGGUGACUGCUCUAGUGCAACUGCCCUCACCAAAUGGGUGUAUUUCAGCCUGCCCUUGGCCAAGCUGUAUCUGGGUUGUGGCCAGAAGAGGGGAAAAAAAAUCUCAUGGGCUGAGCACAUGGUCUCCUAAACUGUGCUCUUGGCUCUCAGUGGUGGGUGUUGAACUUCGUAGGUUGUUGAGCCUUUGUGUGCUUUGGUAUCUCCAUCUACGAAGCAGAGAUAACAGUUGGCUUCAUGCAGGGAUUAAUUAUCACAUCUUGUAGUCACGUAUUUGUUUAUUUGUUUUUACUAUAGAUUACAGCUGGAGGAAUUCUAAACAGUCCACUUCUCCUUGUCAUGGUGUUUGAGCGCAUUGUGCUCCUGUCUGAACAGAGGAAAUCACUGAGGGCUGAAUGGGGUUUUUACUUAGGCAUUGGUUUAGACUACCUGCAAUGGGUACAAGGAUCAGUAUUAUGGAGUCCUUGGUCUUGAAGAGUGACUGAUGGAAAGAAGCAGCACAGGAAAGGCCUUGGCUCUGGUCCUCGGAUGGAUGGGUUUUCCCUCACAGCUGAGUCAGCAGAAGAGAGUUUGUUCUGUGCCUGACCCUGCUGGGUUAGUGCUGGCUAUCUCAGCUCAGCCCCAACCCUGACAGUGCUGUGACUGCCCUGGCCUUUGUCCUAGACUGGCUGGGGUAGGGAUGUGUAUUUACACCAGCUGAACCGUGGUACAGGGAGGUGGCCUCUGGAAGAACAGUUUACUGGAGAGGAUGACUGGAACUGCUGGACAAGAGUUGGUGGAACUCUUCUGAGAGCUCGUAUAUUCUGUUUAGCAUGGUGGCUUUUCCAGUGAACUGCAAUGAACAGCUCUGCUGUUGACCCUAUCUGGAUCUUGAUCUCCUGUUUCAUAGAUUUUAUAGGUAAAACAACAUUUUAUAUUGUUGUAAACAUGCUUCCAGGCACUGAUUCUUAUGACCUGUAAAACAGUCCUGAGACUGUGGCCUUGCUCUUCAGCAAUUCUGCAGUCGCCUAUCUCUGAGACACUGUAUUUCACCCUUGAAUAAGAUUCUAGACCAAAAAAAGAGUUAGACUGCAUACAGAUUAAUAAAUGUAUUGCUAGUAUAUCUGGCUACUGCAGCAUGACUCACCCAUCAGUGCUUGUCAGAGUCUGGCGUGACCUCAUUGAAAGCUUUAACAUCUCCUAUGUUAAGGCAGGUUGUAAUCCAGUGUGGGAAUCCUAAAUAGGUGGGGAAUGAAGUUCUGAGACUGUGAUAAUGCAUCAUAAACAUCUCCCUGGAAAUCAAUUAUGCCCUCAUCAGGAAUAUUUUUACAGAUUUCUGAGGAUCUCUUGGUGCUAAGCCUGCUUUUUCCUGCUUUUAUUAAAAAAACCACCUGUACUAUUCAAGACAGCAACAGAAAUAGAUGCUGGUGGGAAAAUUUAAGAGUGAAUGGGACAUGUCAGGGAGGAGAUGCUCUGUUAUUUGCAAGGACAAGAAAGAGCUGAAUGGUUCCUUUUUAUUUAUCACAGCUUCUACAGAAUUCUGUUCUUUGGGGUUUUUCCUAUGUCAGUAAUGGGGCUUCUGGUACACAGGUAUCUGCUGUUACUUGAACUGAAAGUGAAAUUCCUGGCUAUUGGUCUGGUUGCUGUCCUUAAGACAUGUGAAUGUCUUAAGUUGAUGAGUCUGCCCAGUUUCUACUACUAAGCACUGUGCAUGUGCACACAAAAUACAUCUAGUUCUAAAAAAUAAUGUCUCUCAUGUUCUUUGUGCAGAGACCAAGACCUGGAUGAUGUUUUGAGACUAGGCACACCUUUGCUGGAUGAUGUGAUGGAUGCACAUCGUGAUGUACUAGGGUGUAAGAGAUGGAAACCCCAUAGAAGUGUUGUCCAUGCUGCAUUCAGAUGUGGGGACGUUGGCUUAAAUGAUUGAUCUCAUAUUUAAAGUCCUAUUGCUUGAUUUACAUCUUGAUUUUUAGUAUCUUGGCAGACCUUUCUUCCACAUAGUAAAG